rnacentral:rRNA from 1 species
CCUACGGGCGGCUGCAGUGGGGAAUAUUGCACAAUGGGCGCAAGCCUGAUGCAGCCAUGCCGCGUGUGUGAAGAAGGCCUUCGGGUUGUAAAGCACUUUCAGCGGGGAGGAAGGCGGUGAGGUUAAUAACCUCAUCGAUUGACGUUACCCGCAGAAGAAGCACCGGCUAACUCCGUGCCAGCAGCCGCGGUAAUACGGAGGGUGCAAGCGUUAAUCGGAAUUACUGGGCGUAAAGCGCACGCAGGCGGUCUGUCAAGUCGGAUGUGAAAUCCCCGGGCUCAACCUGGGAACUGCAUUCGAAACUGGCAGGCUAGAGUCUUGUAGAGGGGGGUAGAAUUCCAGGUGUAGCGGUGAAAUGCGUAGAGAUCUGGAGGAAUACCGGUGGCGAAGGCGGCCCCCUGGACAAAGACUGACGCUCAGAUGCGAAAGCGUGGGGAGCAAACAGGAUUAGAUACCCGGGUGUC